CACACACACACACACACACACACACACACAGACAGUGUUGUCCCUACCAUUAUAAGGCUUAGGUGCAGCACCCAAGCCGUUUUGGGCACCACCUAAGCCGAAUAAAUGU